AUCCACCUAUAUCCCGAAUACCUCCCGAUCAAACCCCUCUCGUGUGUCUUCGAUCUCCUCUUGAGCCACUCUCACACGAACCUCAUCUCACGUCCUCUCCGUCCAACUCCUCAUCUCACGCCCUCUCUAUCCAACUCCUCUCCAAUGAACUCUUCUCCAGUGAACUCCUCUUCAUCCAACUUUUCUCCUCAUCUCAUACACUCUCCGUCUAACUCCUCUCCAGCAAACCCCUAUAGCUUGCGAAGCAAGACGCCCUCCGUCGCUUUUAACUUCUUCAGGAGGACCCCUAUAGCUUGCGAAGCAAGACGCCCUCCGUCGCUUUUAACUUCUUCAGGAGGACCCCUAUAGCUUGCGAAGCAAGACGCCCUCCGCCGCUUUUAACUUCUUCAGGAGGUUACCAGCGAACGUAGGAAGAGCGGAGAAGGACGAAGAAGAAGAGAACAAAGGAGGUAGAUUCUUGGUUAAUAUGAUGUAAGCCUCGGUGUUGACGAAUCCCUCACUUUGCAUGGAAGCCACAUGCUCUUCUGUCGUCGCCUCUAUCGUACCACUCCGUCCUCUCUACCUCAAGGAAUUGAGCUGAAUUCCACAUAGAAGGGGUUCCUCCUCUUGUCGGUCAAUUUAUAAACCUAGGAGGACAAUCGGAAUCUGUCUUAACAAGGUUUUUGAAUGGCUCAGCCUCGCAGUAAUGUGAGUUUCAUUUUGCCAUCAUCCUUUAUGAUAUUUGUUGGUAUGUCUAUUGAUUUUCCAUUUACAUGUCUGCUUCUAACUUUCCGGAUGGGUUGAUGGAGUUGAUAACACUUUUCGAAGGAAAUGGGACCAAGAAGAGUUUCUUCAGAAAGCCCGAGAACGGGAAA